AUGGACGAAGAUGAACGACAGAGGAAAAUAGAAGCCGGACGAGCAAAGAAAUCCACCAACAACCAGCGCAUUCAUUCGUUUGCUAGCCACCGACAAAAAAGGGCGAAAAGCAACGGUCAAGUCGCGCAGAAAACGACGCAGAAGAGGAAGGGCCCGUCUCCAGCGCCGCAUGUCAGCCCAGCGCAAGGUUGCCCACUAGAGGCGCUCCCCCGGGCAGACGGUGACUCCGCGGAGCCGGAGCACAGGAGUAACCAUGAGGGCCGUGGUUACACAAAGCAUAUGGAUCACGCUUAUAUAAGGCUCACCCGGACACCUGCGAACAAGACACGGGUCAUGAAAUGUGAACAGAGUCAUAUCUGGCAUCCCAGUGGAGUUAAAAUGAAGGCUGAUUGGCUACGGGGUACUAACCUGUGUCUUAGCAUACUAUGCAUGUCAGUGUCAACGGUCCCUGCCUAUUUGAGACACACUCACACGGACACAUAGACGAGCAGACACACACUCACACAGACGGAGUAAAAUGGGUCACUAAACACACAUGCUUGGGCCUGUUUGUUGUCAUAGCAAUAUAAUCUGGAUUACUAUACUAACUGGAUGUGCCGGUUUUAAAGUGGACGUUCACAUUGAAUGGACAUAAUAAAGUGUGCCAUCGGUUCACUGUACAUCCCCUUGCAUGGCUCUGUCAGUCAGUUUUAUUAUCUGUCCCCAACGCCUGGGUAGAUGUUUAAAAAAAUUAUCAAAAAUUGCCUAAAACUGAUUUGAUAUACUGUUUAAAGUAGGAUUGAGAUGAAGAAGAGAUGCACUCAGCAUGUUUAGUCAAGGGUCCUUUUAAGGCUUUUAUAGACAUUAGGAGUUGGACAGGUAAAGUGGAGACACGGGUGGAG
ensembl:lncRNA